GAUGAAGAACGCAGCGAAAUGCGAUAAGUAAUGUGAAUUGCAGAAUUCAGUGAAUCAUCGAAUCUUUGAACGCACAUUGCGCCCCCUGGUAUUCCGGGGGGCAUGCCUGUCCGAGCGUCAUUGCUGCCCUCAAGCACGGCUUGUGUGUUGGGCCUCCGUCCUCCUCCCGGGGGACGGGCCCGAAAGGCAGCGGCGGCACCGCGUCCGGUCCUCGAGCGUAUGGGGCUUCGUCACCCGCUCUUGUAGNNNNGGCCGGCGCUUGCCGACACAUCAAUCUUUUUUCCAGGUUGACCUCGGAUCAGGUAGGGAUACCCGCUGAACUUAAGCAUAUCAAUAAGCGGAGGA
rnacentral:misc_RNA from 1 species